AGCCGGGGAGAUAGCGGUGCCCUGAACCUGCAAUCCGCUACAGCAGGGGUGAUGCCGACCCGAGGCUGUGCUGCUGUGAAGCAGACUUCUGUAAGCGGUGUUGACGUCUGGGUCUUUGUGCGGCAGGAACCUGUGAACCGUGUCAGGUCGGGAACGAAGCAGCACUAAGCAGGACCACCUGGGUGACGCGAAGGUGCCUGGGCCGAGCAGGCUGCAGAUGAAACGUUUAUGGCAGGCAGUCAAAGGAAGGCGCGCG
rnacentral:SRP_RNA from 1 species